GAUGAACGCUGGCGGCGUGCUUAACACAUGCAAGUCGAACGAUGAAGCCCAGCUUGCUGGGUGGAUUAGUGGCGAACGGGUGAGUAACACGUGAGUAACCUGCCCUUAACUCUGGGAUAAGCCUGGGAAACUGGGUCUAAUACCGGAUAGGAGCGUCCACCGCAUGGUGGGUGUUGGAAAGAUUUAUCGGUUUUGGAUGGACUCGCGGCCUAUCAGCUUGUUGGUGAGGUAGUGGCUCACCAAGGCGACGACGGGUAGCCGUCCUGAGAGGGGGACCGGCCACACUGGGACUGAGACACGGCCCAGACUCCUACGGGAGGCAGCAGUGGGGAAUCUUGCACAAUGGGCGCAAGCCUGAUGCAGCGACGCCGCGUGAGGGAUGACGGCCUUCGGGUUAUAAACCUCUUUCAGUAGGGAAGAAGCGAAAGUGACGGUACCUGCAGAAGAAGCACCGGCUAACUACGUG
rnacentral:rRNA from 1 species